UACGUAGGGGGCUAGCGUUGUCCGGAUUUAUUGGGCGUAAAGAGCGUGUAGGCGGCCAGGUAGGUCUGGUGUGAAAACUCGAGGCUUAACCUCGAGAUGUCAUCGGAAACCAUCUGGCUAGAGUCCGGAAGAGGAGAGUGGAAUUCCUGGUGUAGCGGUGAAAUGCGUAGAUAUCUGGAGGAACACCGGUGGCGAAGGCGGCAUCCUGGACCAAUACUGACGCUGAGGAGCGAAAGCCAGGGGAGCAAACGGG
rnacentral:rRNA from 1 species